rnacentral:rRNA from 1 species
AAUGAACGCUGGCGGCAGGCCUAACACAUGCAAGUCGAAAGGAUCCUUCGGGCUUAGUGGCGGACGGGUGAGUAACGCGUGGGAGCAUAGCCAAAGGUACGGAAUAGCCUCGGGAAACUGGGAGUAAUACCGUAUGUGCUCGAAAGAGGAAAGAUUUAUCGCCUUUGGAUUGGCCCGCGUUGGAUUAGGUAGUUGGUGGGGUAAUGGCCUACCAAGCCGACGAUCCAUAGCUGGUUUGGGAGGAUGAUCAGCCACACUGGGACUGAGACACGGCCCAGACUCCUACGGGAGGCAGCAGUGGGGAAUCUUAGACAAUGGGGGAAACCCUGAUCUAGCCAUGCCGCGUGAUCGAUGAAGGCCUUAGGGUUGUAAAGAUCUUUCAGGUGGGAAGAUAAUGACUGUACCACCAGAAGAAGCCCCGGCUAACUCCGUGCCAGCCGCCGCAGUAA